rnacentral:lncRNA from 1 species
UACUACUCCGGCCGGAUUUAUAAGCAAAAAAGACAAGUUUUACGCUUAUUAAGAAAUAUACUUAAGUGCAUUUAAGUUUCUUGAUUUUAUGUGAGAGAGACAACACAAUUACUAGUAUACCCUCAAUUAUACUUAAGUGCAUUUAAGUUUCUUGAUUUUAUGUGAGAGAGACAACACAAUUACUAGUAUACCCUCAAUUAAAUUGUCUUCUAGUAACAAUAAAGUAAUUAAUGCAAGGAUACUUUUGGAAUAAAGGCAUUAAAUGCACCUAGAUUUG